AGAACACACUGGCGACCUGAAAAUGGAACCAACAGAAGCAAAUAUGGGUUGGGAAGGAAUGAUUGUGUGGUCCCAGAAAUGUGCUGGCAUGUGACUGAGGCUGUUCUGUAUGAGGGUGAAGCAUCCACGAGGGCAAUCUUGGGGAUCAUACCUAAGAAAUUACCUUCAGUCACAGAAGAGACUGGACAUUUUCAGUGUUAGAACUCUUGAAACUCUUGGGAAUUUUGCAUUAUGAAGUGGCCACAAGCCUUUGUGACAAGGAGUAAGAUUGUAAUUUGAAUCUGAAAUGCCUCUGGAGGCUCAUGUUUUGAAUUCUGUCUAGUUUACGGCGGUAUUUUUAAGACUGUGGUACUUUUAGGAAGUGGACCCCUGCUAACAGAAAUAGGCUAGUAGGGGCAAGCCACUCCUACUUCCAGCCAUGGUCUUCACUUCUGGCCCACCAAGAUGCAAGGAGCCUCUGUUACAUGUUCCACUAUGUCCCCUUGUUAUGGUAGACUGAAAUUUUUAUGAAACCAUGAGGCAAAUAAAUCUGUUCCCCUUAUAGUUGCUUCAGUCAAAUAUUUUGUCACACUGAUGUAAAAAUAACUAAUAUGGAGCCUAACAGCCACCAAUCCUAACUCCAGAACUCUGAGAGAGCUUCCCAAGUUCAUUUAUUUCUGAGUGUUCUUUCCUCACCUUGAAAGUGGCAAAAAUAACAGUCCUUUGUGUGUCUGAGUUAUAAUGAAGAUUAAGCAAAUUAAUGAUGCCAAGUGUUCAGAUCAGCACCUUGGCCUUCGUGAUCACAGCACAUUGAUGAUGACAAUGAUGAAAAUGAUAAGCAUGAUGAUAAUGAAGAUGACGCCAACAAUGAUACUGACAAGCUCUACCCAAUGACAUAGAUAAUGACAACAAUGAUGAUAGUGACCCAAUGCAAUAAUAAGCUCUACCCAAUGAUCAUGGUCAUGAUUAUAUGAUGAAAACAAUGACAAGCUCUACCCAAUGGUAAUAAUGAAAAUGAAAAUGUCAUUAACAGGUUCUACCCAAUGAUAAUGAUGAUGAUGAUGAUGACAAUAACAUUAAUAAUGUCAAGCUUUACCCAGUGAUGAUGAUGGUGAUGAGGGAAGAGGAGGAGAAGAAAGACCAUGGUGAUCACUGCACAAACUGAGUGCUUUACUCAAACCUUUUAGCUUCUCAUUCAAAGUUUUCUCAUCAAUCAUAGAAAAGAGCUGUGAGGGCACUUUGAUGAAAGGAAACUAUCUGUUCUUGGCUUGUUGCCUUUUUAAUAGGCUGAAAAUGUUAAGGGCAAUAAUUCUGAGGCCUUGGACAGAUUCCAUCCUGGGUCAGUCACUUGACUUCAUUGCCAAUAAAUUGUUCAAAAGGAGCAAAACAAAUGAUCAUUGUCUUUAUUGUCAACUUGGUACAACCUAAAGUCACCUAGAGACAAAGAACUUCAGCUGAAGAAUUGCCUGGCCUGUGAGCAUCUGUGGGUAUUGACUUGAUUGCUAAUUGAUGUUAAAGGGCCCAGCCAACUGUGGGAAGUACCAUCCCUAGGUGUCCUAGGCCACAAAAGCAAGCUAGCUGAGCAUAAGCCAGUGAGUGAACCAGUAAAGAACAUCCUUCAUGGUUUCUGCUUCAGUUCUUGACCUGAUGCCCGCCCCCCACACACACACCAAGUGGUAGGCUAUGACCUGGAAGUAUAAGCCAAAUAAACCCUUUCCAUUCUGUGGUCAUUUGAAUGCAAUUGGCCCCCAUAAGAUCAUAGGGAGUGGCAAUAUUAGGAAUUGUGACUUUAUUAGGUGUGGCCUUGUUGGAGGAAAUGUGUCACUGUGGGGUGGCAUCUGAGGUUUCCUGUGCUCAAGAUACUGCCCAGUCACACAGUCCAUUUCCUGUUACCUUCUGAUCAAGAUCUAGUCAGCACCAUGUCUGCCUGCACACCACCAUGUCCCACCAUGAUGACAAUGGACUGAACCUCUGAAAAUGUAAGCUGCCACCUUAAUUAAAUGUUUCCUUAAUAAGAGUUGCUGUAGUCAUAGUGUCUCUUCACAGCAAUAGAAACCCUAACUGAGACACUCCCCUAAGUUGCUUCUAGCCAUGAUGUUCAUCACAG
rnacentral:lncRNA from 1 species